rnacentral:piRNA from 1 species
UAGAAAACUACUACAUUUGGGACAUUUU